rnacentral:rRNA from 1 species
CUACGUGCCAGCAGCCGCGGUAAUACGGAAGGUCCAGGCGUUAUCCGGAUUUAUUGGGUUUAAAGGGAGCGUAGGCCGGAGAUUAAGUGUGUUGUGAAAUGUAGACGCUCAACGUCUGACUUGCAGCGCAUACUGGUUUCCUUGAGUACGCACAACGUUGGCGGAAUUCGUCGUGUAGCGGUGAAAUGCUUAGAUAUGACGAAGAACUCCGAUUGCGAAGGCAGCUGACGGGAGCGCAACUGACGCUUAAGCUCGAAGGUGCGGGUAUCAAACAGGAUUAGAUACCCUGGUAGUCCGCACAGUAAACGAUGGAUGCCCGCUGUUGGUACCUGGUAUCAGCGGCUAAGCGAAAGCAUUAAGCAUCCCACCUGGGGAGUACGCCGGCAACGGUGAAACUCAAAGGAAUUGACGGGGGCCCGCACAAGCGGAGGAACAUGUGGUUUAAUUCGAUGAUACGCGAGGAACCUUACCCGGGCUUGAAUUGCAGAGGAAGGAUUUA